rnacentral:snoRNA from 9 species
GCAUAGUGAUGAUGAACUUGAAAUUUCCCGAUGAUUUUCAUGACAGGAAUAACAACCUCCUACUCAUACUGA